rnacentral:lncRNA from 10 species
ACCCGCCCGCUGGCGGAGCGGCCUGGCUGUGGCGCCCCGGGGCUCCUUCCGCAUCAGGGCCCUUUUCCCCCUGCUCGCCCGCGGCCACUCGGCGUGGAGCUGUCGUUGGGGGAUCCGCCUGGCCUUUAGCAGACGGGAGUAGCCAGCGCAGGCCUUUUCUACCGCCCUUCCUCGGUCAUCUGGAACUUCUGGGUUCCCCAGGUGCGCGGAGUAACCCCAGAUUGUCACUUGAACGCGAGGAAACCUAAGUCCUUGGGGACUUUUCGUCCCUAAACCGACCGGCAGGGGUGUAGGCUCUGCACGUUGAAGACUGAGGUGGAAACGGACCAAAGAAUCCAACCGAGUCAUGGUGGAAAGGUCGUGGCUUUUGGAGUCAGAUGGGUCUUAGAUGGGAUCCCACUCAGCUACACUACCUGCUGGCUGGGGCCUUAGAUAAGAAUUGGACCACUAAACCUCAGUUUCCUUAUUUCCAAAAUGCAGACACUCCUAGGUUUGCAGUGUUAGCGUGAGAACCUUUAUGUGGGUCUAGCACACAGUGGGAGCCCAAUAAAUUUAAGUUUCUAAAGAAGAACAAGCUGAGUUAAGAAUGUAACCGAUUGCCAGUCCAUAUACUUACUCAAUGUGCAAUCAGCUGCAAAAAAUAAGAUCCAUAAAUUCUAGGGAAGUUGUUUAGCCCAAACUGGAGAAAGUCUGACAUGGGAUUUAUGGCAGAGUUUGAUUCAAAGUUAGUCCUGUGGCCGGGCACUGUAGCUCAUACCCGUAAUCCCAGCCCUCUUUUUUUUUUUUUUUUUUUUUUUUUUUUAAACAGAGCCUCGCUCUGUCGCCCAGGCUGGAGUGCAAUGGCGCGAUCUCGGCUCACUGCAACCUCCGCCUCCUGGGUUCAAGUGAUUCUUCUGCCUCUGUCUCCCGAGUAUUUGGAAUUACAGGCACCCACCACCACGCCCAGCUAAUUUUUUUGUAUUUUUAGUAGAGACGGGGUUUCGCCAUGUUGGUCAGGCUGGUCUCGAACUCCUGACCUCAGGUGAUCUGCCCGCCUCGGCCUCCCAAAGUACUGGGAUUACAGGCAUGAGCCACUGCGCCUGGCCUAAUCCCAGCACUUUGGGAGGCCGAGGCAGGCUGAUCACCUGAGAUCAGGAGCUCGAGGCCGGUCUGGUCAACAUGGCAAAACCCCAUCUCUACUAAAGUACAAAAAUUAGCGGGGUGUGGUGGCACACGCCUGUAGUCUCAGCUACUCGGGAGGCUGAGGCAGGAGAAUCGCUUGAACCUGGGAGGCGGAGGUUGUAGUGAGCCAAGACGGUGCCACUGCACUGCAGCCUGGGCCACAGAGCAAGACUCCGUCUCAAACAGCUACUCGGAAGCUGAGGCAGGAGAAUUGGUUGAACCUGGGAGGCAGAGGUUGCGGUGAGCCAAGAUCGUGCCAUUGCACCCCAGCCUGGGGAACAAGAGCAUAACUCCGUCUCGGGGGGAAAAAAAAUCCAUGAGGAAGCACUCUUGCUCCACAAUGGGUCCAAGGAGGGCUCACAGACCUCCAAGUUGAUCUUGGCCAAAGACUCUAGCAAUAAUUGUUUCUGCCAUGGGAAAUGUGGAAUAAAUAAAAAUUGAAAGAUCUCUAGAAUGGCCUUGAUGGCCAUGAGCUUAGGCAAGGAAAAGGUCAGGGUCAAGGGAGCUAGACCUGGAGGGGUGGGAGUGCAGAGCAGGGCAGGGCGCUCUCAUUGUCAGCCUCAAGGAGGGGAGGAACGAUGUCCUAAGGGAAAGGGACAGCAAAGCCUGCCAAGCAGACCCAGAACAGCAGCCCCACAGACAGCCUUGGGCAACUCCAGGCCACAGGGUAACCCACACUCGUCGUAGUCUGGCAUCCAACAGCCAGGAUGACCGGGAAAUAAGCCACAGGCUGAAGGAGGCCAUCUCCUCGGCUGACCUCUAUAUGCCUUUUUGGUUGUUAAUUUUUUUUCACUUAUUUAAAAAAACAGAAUUAAAGGAAAUUUAUAAAGGAAAUUUUCACCCAUGUAAGGUACACUUAAGUCUGUGCUCCUAACAGCUUUGGCAGCUGUUGAGUUGGGUAUGGGUUGGCCCAGACACCAUGCUAUGGGUGUUUGCUAAGGGGGUUUGCUAAGAUCCAGCUCUACUAAGGCCCACUCAUGGAGGCUUAGAGGUGUCUUUUCUGUGCCAAGAAACAUCUGCCCCCACCGUCCCAAAACCUGACUGAAUUAUCUGAAGUCCGGUCAUCUGGAAUCUUCCUUUCGUAAGGAUUCAAGCCAACCAAGGGCCUCCUCUUGAGUAUCUCCCUAACUUCCUAGGUGGGUGGCUGCUCCUGCAGGCUCCUAAAGCUGAUCUUGGGUGGGUAAGUAGAUAAUACACAAUGAAGCUGAGGAGAGCGCAGGAACCCUCACUUGCCUAGUGCAACUGUGAAGCUCUGUUCAGGGUGCCUUCAUGCACCUUAUCACAGUUAAUUCACACAACCACUUUCUUUUUUUUUUUUGAGACGGAGUCUCACUCUGUUGCCCAGGCUGGAGUGCAAUGGUGCAAUCUCGGCUCACUGCAACCUCUGCCUCCCGGGUUUAACCGAUUCUCCUGCCUCAGCUUCCUGAGUAGCUGGGAUUACAGGCGCCUGCCACCACGCCCAGCUAAUUUUUGUAUUUUUAGUAGAGAAGGGCAGGCUAGUCUCGAACUCCCAACCUCAGGCAAUCUGCCCGCCUUGGCCUCCCAAAGUGCUGGGAUUACAGGCGUGAGCCACCGCGCCCGGCCCACACAACCAUCUUCUAAGUCAGGUCUUCUGUCUCCUGAGAGAUGAGGAAACAGACUUUGAAAAAGUAAAUA